AAAUUGAAGAGUUUGAUCAUGGCUCAGAUUGAACGCUGGCGGCAGGCCUAACACAUGCAAGUCGAACGGUAACAGGAAGCAGCUUGCUGCUUUGCUGACGAGUGGCGGACGGGUGAGUAAUGUCUGGGAAACUGCCUGAUGGAGGGGGAUAACUACUGGAAACGGUGGCUAAUACCGCAUAACGUCGCAAGACCAAAGAGGGGGACCUUCGGGCCUCUUGCCAUCRGAUGUGCCCAGAUGGGAUUAGCUGGUUGGUGAGGUAACGGCUCACCAAGGCGACGAUCCCUAGCUGGUCUGAGAGGAUGACCAGCCACACUGGAAC
rnacentral:rRNA from 1 species